ensembl:lncRNA
CAAGAUGACUUCAUACACGUGGAUUUUACUCAUUCUGGCAAGUCUUGUGGCAACAAAAGCGCAAGAUUUUGACCUCAGUGAUGCUUUUUAUGAGGCUGACAAGCCCCCUCCGAAGCCAACAGUGAAACCAGCCCCACCGAAAAACCCAGAUUCAGGAUUUGAUAUUUCAGAUGCCUUCAAUUUGGAUAAAAAUAAACCAUCUGGAGAUUUGGACCUCGCUGAUGUUUUGGAUGGUGCUGACAAGCAGGGUAGGGGAGCACAGGGUGGUGAGGAGACUCUCAGCGCAGAGUCUGCAGCGGCUAUGGAGUGUCAGAAGGUCCACAGCAUGAGUGCACCCCGACCGCAUGGCACGGGUGGAAGUGGCCACGUGCUGACUGAGGGUGUCCUUCAGACACAGAGAGAUACAACUGAUGCAAUUACAGUCAUAGCAGAUGAGCUUAAGCAAAUAAAGGUUGUGUUGUGUGACAUUGCAUCUACAUUAAAAGAUCUUGUUAAAAAAUGA